UCGUGUCGUGAGAUGUUGGGUUAAGUCCCGCAACGAGCGCAACCCUCACCUCUUGUUGCCAUCAGGUGACGCUGGGCACUCUAGGGGAACUGCCCCGGUCAACGGGGAGGAAGGUGGGGAUGACGUCAAGUCAUCAUGCCCCUUACGCCCUGGGCUACACACGUGCUACAAUGGCCGGUACAAAGGGAUGCAAUACCGCGAGGUGGAGCUAAACCCAGAAAGCCGGUCUAAGUUCAGAUUGGAGUCUGCAACUCGACUCCAUGAAGGAGGAAUCGCUAGUAAUCGC
rnacentral:rRNA from 1 species